rnacentral:rRNA from 1 species
AUUGAACGCUGGCGGCAUGCUUUACACAUGCAAGUCGAACGGCAGCGCGGGCUUCGGCCUGGCGGCGAGUGGCGAACGGGUGAGUAAUGCAUCGGAACGUGCCCAGUAGUGGGGGAUAGCCCGGCGAAAGCCGGAUUAAUACCGCAUACGACCUGAGGGUGAAAGCGGGGGACCGAAAGGCCUCGCGCUAUUGGAGCGGCCGAUGUCGGAUUAGCUAGUUGGUGGGGUAAAGGCUUACCAAGGCGACGAUCCGUAGCUGGUCUGAGAGGACGACCAGCCACACUGGGACGGAGACACGGCCCAGACUCCUACGGGAGGCAGCAGUGGGGAAUUUUGGACAAUGGGGGCAAACCUGAUCCAGCCAUGCCGCGUGCGGGAAGAAGGCCUUCGGGUUGUAAACCGCUUUUGUUCGGGAAGAAAUCCUCUGGGCUAAUACCCCGGGGGGAUGACGGUACCGGAAGAAUAAGCACCGGCUAACUACGUG